AGAUUGAACGCUAGCGGCAUGCCUAACACAUGCAAGUCGAACGGUAACAGGCCCUUCGGGGUGCUGACGAGUGGCGGACGGGUGAGUAAUGCAUCGGAACGUAUCCUUGAGUGGGGGAUAACGCAGCGAAAGUUGUGCUAAUACCGCAUAAGCUCUGAGGAGGAAAGCGGGGGACCGAAAGGCCUCGCGCUGAAGGAGCGGCCGAUGUCCGAUUAGCUAGUUGGUGAGGUAAAGGCUUACCAAGGCGACGAUCGGUAGCUGGUCUGAGAGGAUGAUCAGCCACACUGGGACUGAGACACGGCCCAGACUCCUACGGGAGGCAGC
rnacentral:rRNA from 1 species